UUUUAGUUUCAAACAGUGAACUUUAUUUUAACCAGUGCAGUAGUGACGACAGUAGAACCGAUGCUUAACGGGUUAGGAAGAAAGGGAAUACCUUUACCAAUUUCUGAUCACAUACAUCUACAAAACACGACUGUUGACUUAAUAGAGAACGCCAUUGUCAUAGGAAGUGAUGGCAGAUACAAUAAAACAGUGGAUUAAAUCAUUCCAUGGAUAGAUUGAAAAAAAAAUAUUAUGAAAAUCCAGUUAAAGACUUGUGCUUCUUGCAUGUAUUUCUCGUAAAAUUUAACAAGAUU